rnacentral:sRNA from 1 species
UUUAAUACCAAUGCCGAAGACAGUAGGUUCCGAUAACGGAGUAAACAUAGUGCCUACCGAGGAAUGAGAUAUCACUUAAAAAUAAUUUUAAUUGAUAUAGUUUAUAUUUAUAUGAACAUUCACGCCUCUUUGUUUUCGCAAAGAGGCUUUUUAUUUUG